AUAAUAACGAUCUUUAGCAAAUCAGAAGCUUAAUUUAAUUAGGCUUGCCUUUAAAAACAAACUUUCAAGAGUUAUUAGAUUUACAUUAACUCAUUCAAUAAUAUAUCCUGAACAUUAUAUUGGUUAUAUGCCAUAUGGGAUUACAAGACUAAGUAGGGGUCCCUGCCCUCAAGGAGCUCACACUCUAGGAAAGGAUUGGGGCACCUUUUAUUUUAGACAGCUGUGUUUAAUUUUUAACAAUGUUUAGACCAGCAAUUCUCAGUAUUUUCCAUGGAAUACCAAUCCUAUAAGAAGGGCAGGUACAUUUGGAAAAUAGGAUAUACCCAGAGGACAACACAGGAGAAUACUGAAGGCCUUGAGAGUCUUAUAGAAAAGAACUUUAACUUUGCUUAACUUGGCAUUUCACAAAAUUAUGUAACUGCAUCUUUUUCACCUAACACCUAUAAACAGAUCAUGUCACACUUUGCGAAAUGCUGAUUUGGGCACACAGUUUUAAAAAAAUGUAUUCCUAUGUAUUUCCUAAGGCACUGAAAACACAAACUUUUAACACUUUUCACAUUUUCAGAAAAUACAUGAAAGAGCAAGUUUGCAAAUUCUUGGGAAUUAUAAAAAUAAUCUGAAGGAUGGGGUUAAGGGGUAGAGAGAGAAUAACAAAUAGAAUAGCUUUCCCAAACCACAGAAAACUAUCUCAAACUAUAAACUAUGUUUCAUGAAGACUAAAAAUAUCCAUAAAAACUUAAAAACAGGUGAUUUAAAUAUAUAAUCCUUUUACUAAAAUCUACUUUAUGUGAACAUACUGUUUAGACUGUUUCAAACAAACAUAUCUUAAUCUGUGAUCAAUUUUACACAUAUUCUUAAUUACAUGUAGAGACAAGACAUUGUAUGCUCCAUAUUUCAUUUGUUAACAUUCAUUAUCUUUCCACCCUUUUCAGAAUUUCUGGUUUGUACCUGCUCUUCUCUCUUGAUGCUAGCUAAUGGAAUUCCAGUAUUUAGGCACUUCUAAUAGCUGGCUAAAAAAAAAAAAUUUAUCAAGAUUAAAAGGGAAAAAUGUACCCUCCUCCCCAUAGUUGCAGAAAAGCAGAUAGGAUUCUAUUCUAUAUCAUAAAACUGCUUUUGCAAAUAUUAUUUUUUAAAAAGUUGUCUUGUUAGACACCUGGGUUUCAGUGUUGCUAUAUCCUGUGACAAUACCUGUGACAAAAAUAGUAACUUUUAAAGUCUGUAAUUCUGACUGGUUGUCUCCUUAAUAAUUUGUGACCUUGCUAAUGAUAUUUAACAUUCUGAUUUCUGAAAGUUUCUCUGCAAAUUUGUUAAGCUGAGGAAAAAAAUCAUUGGUACAUCCCUUUUCUUGCAAAUAUAUGGUCACAUACAUAACACACCUUUGAUUAUG
rnacentral:lncRNA from 1 species